GGAGAGGUGGCAGAGUGGUCGAAUGUACUUGACUCGAAAUCAAGCAUAGGUUUAUAGCCUAUCGAGGGUUCGAAUCCCUCCCUCUCCGCCA
rnacentral:tRNA from 1 species